GGACAUAGGUACACAAACUGUCAUGAUGCUCUAAAGCCAGCACUUGCUACUAGGAAAAACAAGCACAAGGUACAUUUACAUUUCUGCACUGUACAUUUCUGCACAGAAACUGUUUUUGAUACAUAGGGCUGGAACUAUUUUGUUUCAGGAAAAUAGGGCUGCUCCAAGAGCUACGGCAGGAACUUCAGCAGCUCCUACUCAUACUCCAACAGCUGCUCCAACACCUACUGCUAGGAAAAACAAGCACAAGGUACAUUUAUAUUUCUGGACUUUAUAAUUUCCAAAGAAGCUAGCAAAAUCUGUUUUUGAUACAUAGGGCUGGAACUAUUUUCUUUCAGGAAAAUAUGGCUGCUCCAAGAGCUGCAGCAGGAACUUCAGCAGCUGCUCCAACACCACCUCCAGCAGCUGCUCCAAGAGCUACUCCAUCUUCUGCCAGCACAAUUUCCACAUCAAGGGCUUCUGCUGCUCCAAGAUCUGCAGCUCCAAGAGGAAGGGCUGCAUCAACAAGGACUACAC
rnacentral:lncRNA from 1 species